GCACAGCGGGUAUGACGCGGCAGGAAGGCUAACGGCGCAGACGGACGCGGCGGGACGGCGGACAGAGUAUGGUCUGAAUGUGGUAUCCGGCGAUAUCACGGACAUCACCACACCGGACGGGCGGGAGACGAAAUUUUACUAUAACGACGGGAACCAGCUGACGGCGGUGGUGUCCCCGGACGGGCUGGAGAGCCGCCGGG
rnacentral:rRNA from 1 species